GGCUGCCCUUGCCCGGGGGUCCUAUGGAGGACGAGACUUCUCCGGGACCCUGGGCUCUGCGCCCUAUUCUCUCUGGCUUUCCUUUCGCGCUCUCUCCGCUCUCUCUUCACACCGCCCGGGGAGGGGCUGGCGUGGGCAGUUACCCGCCCGCCGAGUGUGUCCGGGGUGUGUAGGAUUGGGGUGGGGUGAGGGUGGCUCGGGGACUGCCGAGUCCAGUCCUUUCCCCGAGGUUGCCUGGGGGUGGGCCGAGCCUCCAGAGCCCCAGCCCUGUUCCGGCCCUGCUCGGGCUCUGCUCUGGUCCAGCUCGCGUUCCCGAACUGGAUUCUCCUGGGCGUGCUUGCUCACUUGGAAGCGCCCGAGCCGCGGAGGCAACCACGGUUCUCGGGACGCGGCGUCAGCCGUUCCAACUACUUUGAGCCUGUCCUGUCCGAAGCCUGCUUGUUUGAGGACUCUUUCGGGGUCCUGCUGGACUUGUGUUACACACUCCUCUGCAGGGAACCAAGAUCUCUCAGAGAGGUUUGGACUUUCUGUUGAGAAUUCUACAUCCUGCGUUUGCCCUCACGCUCAGAGUGGAGCUUGGUUGACCUGUUGAUGGACUUUGAGGCGCAUGUGGUACCGUGUCCUGUCACUUACUCUGCAAAAACUUUGAUUGCAUUGGCACCACAGUAUCAUCACAGGCUUUAUGUCUUAUUCCUCUUAUCAAUUUUUACACUGAAUAAAGGAGGAGAGGAGGAGAAAAAAGCUUAACCCCAAAGUACAAGACUUUAAAAAGGGCAGGAGACUUCUUGGUGCCUCUCAGAUGCCUACCACCUGACUAUUCUGCCUGCGUUAAGGCAGAUUCUGGAAAAGCUUCACCUUUCCCUGCCUUUGGACAUGUGCUUGGAGCCUUUUCUCAGAGCCCACACUCUCUCCUUUGUCCCUGGGCACCAUCCACUUGGCUCCGGACCAUGCCUUGCCUGGCUGAGCUGCCCUCGGAGCUGUCAACACGAGAAACUCCGAUAACACGUUUGGAAGAACAGGUGAGCAAGGAUGAGAGAAUUUCAGAGGCCUGGGCCAGCACCUCCACCCCUUCCUGGUUUAACUUUUGACGGGAUCUUCACAUCUGCCUGAGCAGUGUUGCUUGUGGUUUCAGAAGCCCCAGUUCCUGCACCUGCUACACGCCUCUUCCCAAAGGGCAGAAGACUUUGCUUGAUGAGAGGACUGUAAGGCCCAACCUGUCCCUGGAACCCCCUCCUGGGCUCCUGUUCUCCAGGAGGCUGCAUUCCCAUCCAUAAACCUCCUCCUCUCCAGAUGUUUAUCAGAGGCCUGGAUGAAAGCUGUCCAUGUUGUAAAUCUCUCUCUGUGGCUGUCAGGCCCCAGGGCAGCUGAAGAAGGUUGACAGCCCUUUGGGCCACAAAGGAAAAAAUUUGCUCUACUCCACCUACUCCCAUCUCUGCCAAGAAGCUGUCCUCUUAGGAGCCACUGCUGGCCUUCCAUUCCUGGGAGCUGCUUGUUUGUGCCAGGUGUUGUUGGAGACAGACGUCAGGACAAGAUGAACCUGGCUGCCAAUCACUGUUGAGAUUCCGGCAUAUUGGGCAGUCAGGAAGUGUAACCAUCACAACCAGGAAAUGAAACCCAGCAGACACCUUUAAAUUUCCCCUGGAGACAUACCCAGGAACUCUUGGACUGUCUUCGUCCCAUUUCUGCUUCAGGCCUUCGUGAACGCUCUUCCUGCCCUUCUGAAGAAUUUCACUCUACUCCUCAGCUGAUUUACACAGACCCAAACUCCAGGUCUCUUGUCGAUUCCUCAGAGAAGACUUUUCUGACGGUGGCCUCCUGACAGUCCCUCAACACCCCGUUUCCUUUUCCUUCAUAGCAAUAAUCGCAGUUUGUAAUUAUACAUGUACUUGUUUGGCUAUUACAUAAUUCUGUCUCCCUGAUAGAUGUGAAUGAUCUUCCAACAAGAGCAAAUCUGUUUUGAUGCAUGCUGUAUCCUACUCCGCCUGCCAAUCCCAACGUGCCCACCAUCCCCACCUCACCACCCUAUGACAGUGCCUGUCGUAGGUUAGGUGCUCAGUCAAUGCUUGUUGAAUGCAUGAGUGAAUCCAGUGCUUGCCUGGUGCAAAUGCAAAUGUGAAAGGUCACCACAUUGUAUCAUAUAGGAUUUGGAGGACUAGGGAGAGAACAUGCUUUUCAAUAAUCCCUUGGUGAGAGCAACUCUCCCAUUUGCACCCAUUUGUGAGUGCCCCAGAGGUGCACAGCACUCAGUGAUUGGCGACUGUGGUGAGGCCUGAGCUUGAAUUGUGCCUGCUCGGAUGCUGGUGUUUAAGGCAGCUUCCUGGGCUGGUGAGCAAGGUCGAUGUUCAGCGAAGUGUCUACACCUUGGUGUGGCUUUGCCACUCUCUACUUCCCAUACUGUGUGAAGAAGAGUUCAUUCUAGAGCCUCUGACAGCUGCCAAGCUGCCUGGGGUUGAACACCUCCAUGGAGCAGUGCCCUCUGCCUCUGAAUCAGCCUGUAGAGUGCUCUGGCUGUCACAUAGAUCUAACCUAAGUUAAAGACGGAUUUAGCUUCCUCAGAACCUUUAACUAUUGAUUGCCUUCUGGAGAUGUUUCUCCUCUGGAAGAACAUCAAGUUCAUUCAUUGGACGUUUAUUGAACACUGGCAUGGCAUACCAGGUCGGGAUCCAGGCAUUGGGUACAGACAGCCGAAUAAGACACAUGGAAGAGCUUAGCUGGGGAAUACCGAUGCAGCUUGCAAAGUAUUCUCGCACAAUUAUCUUAAUUCAUCACAGCAACCUUACGAUGUGCAUGUCAUUAAGCCUGUUUGAGGAUAUAGAAGCCUAAAGAUUAUACAUGACCACCCUGAAAUCCUGUAGUUUGCAUGUGAGGGAGCUACAGCUCAAUCUUGAGUCUCUUGACUCCAACCCGGUGUUCAUUUUACUACCUUGAACUAAAAGUAUGAAUGUAUUUCUGCUUCAUACAGCCCUGAGUACAUUUAAGGGUUGCUAAUAUACUCCCUGAAUUAUCUUUUCUCUGGAUAAACCUGGUCCCCAAAAGUGGGAUAAGACCUAGUGGAUCUUCCUUGGCACUACCCUUGUACGUUGCAGAAGAUCCUGGCUACUGUACAACACUCUUCCAUCUACAAUCAGCAGUGUCUCAGUCUAGAAAACUAGAUUCUGAAGAGGAAUUCAGGGUGGUUAUUCUCCCCUGUGCAGUGAAGCCAGUAGCUAAGCCUGGGACCUGUUUUCCAGGGCAAUUCAGGAGGUGCUUUCCCAGCAAGCAUUGUACAGUGAAAGAUAAUAGAUGCAUGGAUUUCCAGGGAGGGAUGUCUGACACUUGCGGCUUCUUUUAAACGACAUUUCUGUAAGGGCCCCAUCGACUUAAACAGUUCAUGUUAUAGAGCACUCAUCACUACCUGAGAAAUUUCAUUACACUUACAGGCAGAUCCAUUAGAAUUUUGGCUCAACAUAUCAGGAAAAAAAUUCUGGUCUUCUUGAGGCUGGGAAGUGUAAACACAGUGUCUCUCAACGAAGUGUGUGGGGAGUCCCAACCUGAGUGCAGGCUUGGGCGGGCAUGUCUGAGCAGGCCUGGUGAAAGGCUGGGUGGGCCUGCUCAAGGUUUAUUUGCAUGAAAAGCCUCCUGGGAUGGAGCUCAUCUAGGAGGAAGAAGGAACUAGGGACAAACAGCUGACCUAGUGACCAGGCUUUGAUUGCAGCAGGUGAGAGUGAUUCUGAACCUGGCUUCGUGUCUGCCUCAGAACUGGGUGUGGCUCACAACUCAGCUCUCACUGGACUUCUUCAGGAGACCUACAGAGAGUAAAAAGGCUGUAGAUAAAAAUGGAAAGAAUGGUUUAAACUAACAUGUGGUUGUCACUGGGGAACCAGCUUUGGGACUUGUCUUGAGAGAAAAACACACAACAGGAAGAGAGGCUCUCUCCCACCUCAUUGUGGACCCCUGAAGUUCUUUGGCUUUAGGGGGCCUUCAGCACCUCUGUGGUGGCAGGAGAGCAGCACCCAGCAGAGAGGGCAGUGUUUGGUGUCCUGGUUAGAGAACCUGGAUC